rnacentral:rRNA from 1 species
UACGUAGGGGGCAAGCGUUGUCCGGAAUUAUUGGGCGUAAAGCGCGCGCAGGCGGUUAUUUAAGUCUUAUGUUUAAACCUGGGGCUCAACCUCGGGACGCAUGGGAAACUGGGUAACUUGAGUGUAGGAGAGGAAAGUGGAAUUCCACGUGUAGCGGUGAAAUGCGUAGAGAUGUGGAGGAACACCAGUGGCGAAGGCGACUUUCUGGCCUAUAACUGACGCUGAGGCGCGAAAGCGUGGGGAGCAAACAGG